rnacentral:rRNA from 1 species
ACGCACGCUGGCGGCGUGCUUAACACAUGCAAGUCGAACGGAAAGGCCCUGCUUUUGUGGGGUGCUCGAGUGGCGAACGGGUGGGUAACACGUGAGUAACCUGCCCUUGACUUUGGGAUAACUUCAGGAAACUGGGGCUAAUACCGGAUAGGAGCUCCUGCUGCAUGGUGGGGGUUGGAAAGUUUCGGCGGUUGGGGAUGGACUCGCGGCUUAUCAGCUUGUUGGUGGGGUAGUGGCUUACCAAGGCUUUGACGGGUAGCCGGCCUGAGAGGGUGACCGGCCACAUUGGGACUGAGAUACGGCCCAGACUCCUACGGGAGGCAGCAGUGGGGAAUAUUGCACAAUGGGCGGAAGCCUGAUGCAGCAACGCCGCGUGCGGGAUGACGGCCUUCGGGUUGUAAACCGCUUUCGCCUGUGACGAAGCGUGAGUGACGGUAAUGGGUAAAGAAGCACCGGCUAACUACGUG